rnacentral:rRNA from 1 species
AUUGAACGCUGGCGGCAUGCCUUACACAUGCAAGUCGAACGGCAGCACGGGUGCUUGCACCUGGUGGCGAGUGGCGAACGGGUGAGUAAUACAUCGGAACAUGUCCUGUAGUGGGGGAUAGCCCGGCGAAAGCCGGAUUAAUACCGCAUACGAUCCACGGAUGAAAGCGGGGGACCUUUGGGCCUCGCGCUAUAGGGUUGGCCGAUGGCUGAUUAGCUAGUUGGUGGGGUAAAGGCCUACCAAGGCGACGAUCAGUAGCUGGUCUGAGAGGACGACCAGCCACACUGGGACUGAGACACGGCCCAGACUCCUACGGGAGGCAGCAGUGGGGAAUUUUGGACAAUGGGCGAAAGCCUGAUCCAGCAAUGCCGCGUGUGUGAAGAAGGCCUUCGGGUUGUAAAGCACUUUUGUCCGGAAAGAAAUCCUUGACUCUAAUACAGUCGGGGGAUGACGGUACCGGAAGAAUAAGCACCGGCUAACUACGUG